rnacentral:rRNA from 1 species
CGCAGCGAAAUGCGAUAAGUAAUGUGAAUUGCAGAAUUCAGUGAAUCAUCGAAUCUUUGAACGCAUCUUGCGCUCCUUGGUAUUCCGAGGAGCAUGCCUGUUUGAGUGUCAUUUAAUUUCUCAAACCACAUUUGAAUUCUUUCGGUGUGGAUUGGAUGUGGGGGGUUUGCGAGCUUCUCAAGAAGAAGUCGGCUCCCCUGAAAUGUAUUAGUGGUAUCUGAGCUACUGCUAUUAGGUUUGAUAAAUUAUCUAUGCCUUUUGGUAUGCUGCAUAAACAGAUUGCACCGCUUCUAAAAGUGUGAGUGGUCAUUGAACCACACAAUUUUGAUGAAUUUGACCUCAAAUCAGGUAGGACUACCCGCUGAACUUAAGCAUAUCAAUAAGCGGAGGAAAAGAAACU